rnacentral:lncRNA from 1 species
AGGAGAUAACUCCCCCAUACAAAUAAAAUUUAGCACGUUAGGAACAGGAGGAGAACCUCAUCCUAACAUGAGCAAAGUUGAAGGCCCAAUUUCUUAAAGACCGGAUGGGGGAGAGGCCCUUGCAACAGCCCUUAUGUGCCCCCACAGCCUUGUUAGGAACAAGAGGAGAACCUUGUCCUAACAUGAGCAAAGUCGAAGGUCUGAUUUCUUAAAGACC